CACCGCCCGUCACAUCACGAAAGUGGAUUGUACUAGAAGUCCGCAGGCCAACCGCAAGGGGGCAGCGGCCCAAGGUAUGAUUCAUGAUUGGGGUG
rnacentral:rRNA from 1 species